UACGAAGGGGGCUAGCGUUGCUCGGAAUGACUGGGCGUAAAGGGCGCGUAGGCGGUUCGUACAGUCAGACGUGAAAUUCCCGGGCUCAACCUGGGGGCUGCGUUUGAUACGUACGGGCUUGAGUUCGGAAGAGGGUCGUGGAAUUCCCAGUGUAGAGGUGAAAUUCGUAGAUAUUGGGAAGAACACCGAUGGCGAAGGCAGCCCCCUGGGCUGACACUGACGCUGAGGCACGAAAGCGUGGGGAGCAAACAGG
rnacentral:rRNA from 1 species